rnacentral:rRNA from 1 species
UACGUAGGGGGCCAGCGUUAUCCGGAAUUAUUGGGCGUAAAGAGCUCGUAGGCGGUUUGUCGCGUCUGCCGUGAAAGUCCGGGGCUCAACUCCGGAUCUGCGGUGGGUACGGGCAGACUAGAGUGAUGUAGGGGAGACUGGAAUUCCUGGUGUAGCGGUGAAAUGCGCAGAUAUCAGGAGGAACACCGAUGGCGAAGGCAGGUCUCUGGGCAUUAACUGACGCUGAGGAGCGAAAGCAUGGGGAGCGAACAGG